rnacentral:rRNA from 1 species
CCUACGGGAGGCAGCAGUGAGGAAUAUUGGUCAAUGGUCGGGAGACUGAACCAGCCAAGCCGCGUGAGGGAUGAAGGUACAGAGUAUCGUAAACCUCUUUUGUCAGGGAACAAAGGCGGGGACGUGUCCCCGGAUGAGUGUACCUGAAGAAAAAGCAUCGGCUAACUCCGUGCCAGCAGCCGCGGUAAUACGGAGGAUGCGAGCGUUAUCCGGACUUAUUGGGUUAAAAGGGUGCGCAGGCGGUCUGUUAAGUCAGCGGUAAAAGCCCGGGGCUCAACCCCGGCCCGCCGUUGAAACUGGCAGUCUCGAGUUGGAGAGAAGUAUGCGGAAUGCGCGGUGUAGCGGUGAAAUGCAUAGAUAUCGCGCAGAACUCCGAUUGCGAAGGCAGCAUGCCGGCUCCACACUGACGCUGAGGCACGAAAGCGUGGGUAUCGAACAGGAUUAGAUACCCCUGUAGUC